rnacentral:misc_RNA from 1 species
CCUCCUUAAAAAGACAACGUUUAGUGCAGGCGUUCACACAUAUUACUUAUUUACCUAGAUCUCUUUAAAAUGAGAUGGCAAGGUGAGUUCUUUAACAUUUUUAUAAGUUCAAUCAAGUCACAUCAAUUUAUUUUUUCUUACGAAAAGAUAUUGAGGAUGUGCAAAUUAACAGUUUAUAAAAGAUUUCCUUUUCCUUUAUCCGGAAAUCUUGUUAUGAACAACUGCAAAGUAAUUUGGCGUUUUUGUGUUUUUUUAAAAACACAUAUAGUAGAUAGAAAUACUUGUUAAAUAUUCAUUAAGUUAAUUGAUGUAAUAUGGUCAAGUAAUGAAGUGCAAACGGUGGAUGCCUUGGCAGCUAGAGGCGAUGAAGGACGUAGUAACUUGCGAUAAGCUUCGGGGAGUCGGUGACAGACUUUGAUCCGGAGAUUUCCGAAUGGGA